CACUGAAAAACACAGGAGCAAACGCACUGCCUCCCAUCGAGGCUGUGUUCGCCUGUAUAAACCAACCAGAGAAAAUAAAAGGGAAAUUUAUCAUCGCCUGCAGCCACAGCUGGGAAAACAUCUGUGGGACAGGGGUGGGCCCCUCCACACUCCCCUCCCUGCACUGAGGUCAGCUGUGGCUGUGACCAGGCCAGAGGAGGAGGCCAGCAUAACAAUACCUGUUUCUCUAGAAACAUGUGCGUGUUUGCUGGGUACAUAGGGGCUGAUCCCGUAGCCCAGAUCCUUGGGGGCAGUGUUGACCGCCUGACCACGGAUCUCAUUCCUGGGCCUUCAUUCCCCACCCACGCCCCGCCGCCCCCGGCUCUCCUCCUGGAGCAAGUCCUCAUGUGUCACCACUCCCUCAUGUAACAAGCCCUUCACUUUGCUUCCUAUGACUAACAAAUCAGGUCCACCGGCCGCCUGGCACUGGAGGUUCUAUUUACAGCUAUCUUUUCAGUUUCCUCUCUGACUAGCCAAACCAGUUCCUCGGGACAUCUCUCUCUCUCUUCUUCCUUCCCCAGUUAUCCCUUCAUCUGAAAGACCCUCCCAGCCCUGCUAAGACCCCACCUCAGAGCCUCCUCCCUUGCAGAGAAGCGCUAUUUCCAUGCAUGCCCCUUCUUAUGCUGUAGGACAUGCGGGGACGAAGGUGUGACUUUCCCCUUCCUUCCGUCACUCAGCAAGGACUCCCGAUGCCCACUCUGUGCCAGAUGUUGCUCUGAGCACCGGGGAGAAUGGCAGCAGCAGGGAGGCAGGAACUCGAAGGAGCACUGCUUCACAAAAGGGGCGUGAUCACCUGGGUGGUGCCGCUGGUUGGAGGGCAGACCCAUAAGGUAGAAGACAUGGGGAUCUUAAGGAAGAGCUUCAGAGGCGUGGCAGUGAUAUAGGAAGCAAAACACUAGCUGAGAGGGCCAAGGUGUCGAAGGCUCGAGAAGAUGUGAAAUAGCCAUCGCACGGUGAGGAAGAGCAACCUGGGUAGGAAAGUCCGGAGAAAACUAGCAUUAGAGACGUGACUGGAACACCAGUCCGCUUACCUGGAUUAGAUGCACCGCAAAGACAAAGAGCUGCAGCCUCGCGGGGGGCAAACACUGUGCACAGAGACCCAGGAAACAUGAAGCGAGUUCAACUCUGGGCAGACGCAUUAACUGUGCUGUGUUAUCCGCAUCCCCACACACAGUAUUUGGGGGCAUCUACUGCGACUACUUUGGCCUCUCCUUCCAUACGUGUCUGUUAAUUAAACAUGUCUGCUCCUUCACAGAGGCCCCUCACAACAUCGGGGGAAGACAG